AGCAGCCGCGGUAAUUCCAGCUCCAAUAGCGUAUAUUAAAGUUGUUGCAGUUAAAAAGCUCGUAGUUGAAUUUCGGGAUCAAUUAGUCGGUCGUGCCUCUGGUACGUACUGGUUUUAUUGGUUCCUCCCUUCUGACGAAACAUGAUGUCAUUAAUUUGGUGUCGUGGAGAAUCAGGACUGUUACCUUGAAAAAUUAGAGUGUUUAUAGCAGGCUAACGCUUGAAUACAUUAGCAUGGAAUAAUGAAAUAGGACGUUCGACCCUAUUUUGUUGGUUUCUAGGAUCGACGUAAUGAUUAAUAGGGAUAGUUGGGGGCAUUAGUAUUCAAUUGUCAGAGGUGAAAUUCUUGGAUUUAUUGAAGACUAACUACUGCGAAAGCAUUUGCCAAGGAUGUUUUCAUUAAUCAAGAACGAAAGUUAGGGGAUCGAAGACGAUCAGAUACCGUCGUAGUCUUAACCAUAAACUAUGCCGACUAGGGAUCGAAUGAUGUUAAUUUUUAAUGACUCAUUCG
rnacentral:rRNA from 1 species